GGGAAGACGAUUAAAUCAGCCAAUUUUAGGUCGUUUGGGACUAAUCUGUCAUCGGCCAAAACUCGCUGAUUUUCGCAGAUAUUUUCAGAAAUAAAAUGCAGAAAAUGAGAUUCGGUUCCACUUGGAAAAUGUUCCGCCAUCUGAAAAGUUCCCCGAUUUAUCCUGUAGAUGGCGCAGCGAACUCAUGACAAUCUUCAUCCACUAACUACCUCACAGCACAGCAGAGUGACGGAUCUGAAGCAGGCAGCUCAGGGACGCACAGAGGAGAGUGGUCCGCCUCAACGGUAAAUAAACCAGUUUGUGAAAAACACAAUAAGUCAACAAGUUUCAGUUUAACCCACUUCACCAUGUUCCCCGCUGUGCUGGUCUCGGUCACGCCGAGUUAACAGUGAAGCACCAUGUAAUUUGCAAGCUAAAGUUAGAGUUAGCCAUCUGCUAUUAGCCUUGCAACACGGUUAGUAGAAUAAACAACAGUACACAUUAGUGAUCGAGCUACUUCUCUUACUGAGGCAGCUGCAUGUCUCCAGAUGAGACCGGACCGGAAAUGAGUAACGGGAGUUAAGACGUGGAGGCACCGAUUGGCGUCAGGGGGAUAUCUGUAGAUAUCUACAGUAUAUAUUCAUUUUUUAUAACUUCCUAAAAAAAUUAAAAAUAGGACGAUUAAUUGGAUUUUUUCCCCCCCAACAAUCGGUAUCGGCAUCAGACCCAAAAAAUCCAUAUUGUUCGGGCCCUAGUUUACAGUCACCCGAAAUGCUGUUUCCAUGUAGAUUAAACACCGAUACGACAAAAAUGUUUUGCGUUUACCCCUGAUUACGUUUCCGUGUGGACGGGUUGAUACCACCUUCAGACAGACUUCGCAGCGGCGAGUGGUUUGCUCUUUGUUCGAAACUGUGAAGUCGUACCAAUUCCACACGACUGACUUGCUCUUGUCCCAUUUAGCCACGAAAUUAUCGCCAUCUUUAGCAAACGCCAUGUUUGUUUACACUGGUGCGUGUGUGGGAACUGGGGAGCGUUCUUGCAGGAGGGGGGAGCCUACGGUGGCCUGGAGGCACGAGACAUGAUAGAGAGGAAAAUCAAUUUGAGGAUUUUAAUUUUUUAACAUCGUCACAAUCAAAUAAUCUGAUUAUGAUUUAAAAUCGAUUAAUCUGAAGGUUGGCCAUUUUGGUCACCAGGUCUGUGAACCCCAGACUGCUACCGGGAUCUGUGCUAGGCUGUUCCCAAUCAAUCUUAUCCCUCGACAGAAACCAAAUAAAGAUGCACUCAUUCUGGUAGAGCACCUACCUAAGAGGAUAGCUUCGGGGGACAUUUAGCUGCAGUAUGAAUCCCGUGUUUGUUUCCAUCUCUUCUUGUUAGAUCAACCGAAGGAAAAAAGAGAGAGAGGAAGCCAAUGAAAAAUGAAACCAGCAGCUGUGAUGAUGAAAUGUGCAGUGUCAGAUAUAUAUAAUACAUAAACACCUCUCUUCAAAGAUAUUCUGCUUCUCCUCUCUGUGAUGAGAGUCGUUUCUUUAUCGAUUUAUUGCUGAUCCCGGCCGACUUUACAGAGCGUGAACUUAAAAUCUUACAGAAAUUCAUUAUCGAGCUCACUGAGUCGGACUCCUUUCAGGAUAAUACCAAAGUGACAGUUGUUACUGGGAUCUUACUUCGUACAUCUCACUGGGUCUUCAAAUACCAGUUUAUUUGAUGUAACACAGGAAGGUACCUGGGUAACAUGCUGGAGAAAAGUGUGAUAAAAAGCAGCCGGUUUGCUGUUAAAUUGACUUGCUCUGGAUUAGAGGGAUGGGAUUUCUAUCGCAGCGUAUACCUGUACAAAUCAUACAAAUCUUCCCUGACAUAACUCCAGUUUUAAAUGAAAGCUUUGGGGAACGGGAGGGUCCAUCUUAUCUUGACAGUCAAAGGCAGGGAGGGGAUUGGGGAGGGUUGCUGCAGAUCCAAAUGUAUUUUCUACCUCUUUUCACCUCUUUCAGUGGAGUCAAAUGGUCCUGCUUGCUUUAAAUUUAAGGGUCUCCAUCUGACACAGUCAAAGUUAUAACUAGAAAAGGGAGUGGGAAGUUUGUACAAUAUGUUUUAAGUUCCUGUAAAGUGAUCAAAUAGAUCAUGUGGCAUCAGACACUUGACAAUAUCGACUCCAUAGAGUUUCUAUGGAGUCUUAUUAACUUCACUGCUCUGCUGAGACAGGAACACUCACUUCUGAUUGGGCCUUAAAAGGUCAGCUGAUUAAAGAUGCAACUAGGGCUGCGCGAUGAACCAAAGAUUUACAGAUACCAAAAUUUACGACAAUAACUAAUGUCCUUUUGCCCAUGUCAAUAUUUCAGUGUCAAUAAAUAAAUAAAUAAAAGUUGAUUUUGAAUGUGUGUAGGUAGGCUAUGGUCUCAUGUCCCUUUAAGACGCUGUCCUACAUCAGAGACGUGACUCCACCCCAUCCAGUCCGUAACAAAGAGGGAAAGACAGGUGAGGAGACGGAGGACGGUUCAAAAGUUGUAGCGGCUGAAGUAGACGAAGUUAAUGUGGGAGGGGGUGAGCAACUUGUGGAGUAGUUAUCGUCUAUUUAUUGUUAUUGAGAUGAACCGCUCAAUAUAUCUUCAUAUUAAUUUGAGGCCAUAUCGUCCAGCCCUAUAUACAGCCUCUGGUUGGUCGAUGGACCAGAACAGUUUGCAGCCCUCACUAAGCAUGGUAAUCCAGCAACAGAACUCACUCUGUAGAUUAGAUUAGCUCCACUUUGGAUUAACUGGAUCCUGACGGUCUGAAUACACACCAAUCUCCUCUGUGGAUCAGAAAAGUUCAUCACCAGAAAACUGCCGGUCUCACAAAAUGAAUGGAUUUUACUGUUAGUCACACCUUUUCAUUGUGAGAAACACAAUGAUAUUAAAGCAUAAUUUAUGCAUUUUUGUGUGUGAGAAAUUACCGCACAUUGUGUGUUGCUAUCAGUGACUGAAUAACUCAAGCUGUGAAAAACUCAAGUUAUCUGCCUAACGCUGAAAAAAACGACCACAUUGUGACAGAACUGGGUGAAAACAUCAGCUGCGAACUGACAAUUACCAUCUUUCUUUUCUUCCACCCGCUAGCCGCAAAACGCCGCCAACACUUGAGCCUAACACGCAGCGGCACAGUCUGCUACCAGUUCCUUACAGUUAAGUGUGGAAGCGGUGCAUGUGCCGUCAGCUCACACCUCUCAAGUUUGAUGGAUAAAGCACAAAAAAACACAUCUGUUGACUGGCAUUCGAUGGUAAACAGUGAGAAUAUUUAGAGAAAGAGCUGCUGCGUACAGAGCAGAUGUAUUUGUAGCAGCUGUACAGUUACAGUAGAGAAGAUGAUGCUGUAUAGAAACUUUCACAUAUGCCAAUGCUAACAAAAUAGGGGUAUCAUGCUCUUCAGCUGUGAUGGAAGCUGGCACUCAGGUGCAUUAGAAUACAUUAGAGAUAAUGAAUUCCCCUCUCCUGGUUUUCCCCGUCGAGUAGACACCGCAGAGUGAGAAGGUUCGCGCUUCUCUGCGUUCGUAUUUUUCCCUUUUCAUGUGGGAGAGCGACACCGUCACGCCCGUGCCUCUCUGACAAAUGAAAAAUAUAAGCUCGAUGACUACUUUUUUAUUUGUUUCGCACACUUCCUCCUGUGAUUUGUUCGUGGAGCUGGUGUUUUGUACCUGCUCGUUAUUAUUUCUUCCCACACGCUCGGGGAAGAUUACAGGUUUCUCAUGCAAACAAGACGACGACACGAAACAGACAGACACACAAAAGCAGAGUGUGAGGGUAAUGGGUCGCCGCAUAACGAAGCACAACCUUGAGUGCUCAGCCACGCGGAGACAGAAACACAUCAUCGAGUUUAACGUCUAAUUUGUGCCUUUUCUCGCUCCCACACUGUCAGGCAGUCGGAACAGGUGUGCAGACGCAGGUGUGCUUCUGUCCCUGCUUCACCUCUGCAAACACUGAAUCUUAAACUUCACCACCUCUUCCUUCUCCUAAAAUAUGAUAAUCCAGGUUUAAUAAUUACUGUGCUCCUGCUGUGAUGGGCUGGUUUUGUCCUUAAAGGUGAAUGAAGCACGCCUCUUUCUUCCUUCCUUCCUUCCUUCGCAGCAGAGCAUGUCGCUCGACUCCUCGAAAAAUUCUCAACCUCUUUACCUUCAAACUUUACGAGCUCAGACCGGUCUACGACAAAGUUCAGGAGCACAAGGACAAUUCAGAGAGGAGAGCAGGGAGAGGUCCAAGAGGAGGCAAGUGUGUGAGCAUGUGUGAGUGUCUGAAAAGCCAAGGGACGGAGUAAACGCAACUUAAGUAAUUGCUAGCUAGUUUUUAAAAAAAGAAACAACUUAAAAUGCAUUUCAAACAUGAUGUGUAAAUGUUCAGAUAUAGUUCAAAUUUUACAGUUUUAUCGGUGCUGGCCUUUUUUCGAGUCUCCUGCAAAGGGGUCUGCCCAAAGAAAGGCAGUCAUAGAGCUUUGCUUGACCAUGUCCUCCAUUUUUGUAGUUUACUGAGGUUAAAAGCACAUGGAUUAACCAGGCUACGAUGACAGCACCCUCUGCUGGAGCGACCUGACGCACUGGUAUGCUGUAUUAUUAUUCAGGCAAAAACAUAAAGGAUCAGUAUUGAGUGCGUUUCGGCAGUGUCGCAAAUAGGUUGCCAUUCUAAUCAAUGCGCCAUCGCACACAGGACGCGUAACGGCUCCUUAGCACCUCCAUAUCAGAAGCCUAUCAAGCGCAGCUCUGUUAAAGAUACACGCCUAGUCCACUUUUGCUGCUCUACGCCUUCAACACGCGUCAAUCUACACAGAGAAGAUCGUUCUAGACAGGAUGUCAAGCACGAAACAUGGCAUGUCAUCCGGUAAAUAUCAAACACUGACAGAGCGCACUCAAUACGGAUCCUGUAUAUUUUCAGCUUGAAAAGACUGAGUGACAUGUUGGAUCUGGAGCCGGUGGAAAAAACGUAGCAUAAGUGGCAGAAGAGCUCAACUCCUUUAGGUUUUAAUUAAAGUGUACUACAAGUGAAAAACUACCAUUCAAAAAUCAUAUUAACAUCUUAUUUUGGUGCUGCUGUUACAUGUGAGAGUUUCGCUUAUGUGGUUUCCUGUACUUCUCCAGAACUGCAGUUUUAAGCUCUUCUGCAUCAGCUGGAUUUCUCAGGACCGGAGGUUACCGCUCGAGUUGGAAUAAUUCACAAUCUGUUAAAAUCUCUUUUAUCAAAGUUUCACACAGCAGCUCUUCUUUUGUGGAGCUGAGGCUCACUCGGUGACGCGCUUCAAAAUCACUCCAUACAACACCAACCCCAAAGGCGGCCUUUCACUGCACUGAUCACAGCUAUUCAAAUACGGUCUUCCUGCUGCUGGUCUGGUUUUCCCUCGAAGGGCGAAGAGGAUGUUUGUAUUCUUGUGCCACCUCUGUCCGCAGCCAAAACCCAGAGAAAAACCCCAGACUCAUUUUGCCUAAAGAGAUUUCCUCAAUGGGCUUGUCCAUGUGUGGGUAUUUGUUUUCCCAUCCAUGCUGCCACACUUUGCUCAGUGUUAGCCUGUUAUGUGAGCGCGUGCAUGCUUGUAUCGGAGACAAGGCAAUCCAUCUCCGAAGGUCCCAUCUGCGAGCAACAGCCUUGUUUACUUAUCCCUCGACCAGCAGCAGUCUGUCCGCAGGUAAACGAGCAGCCGGGAUGAGCGGGGAGGAGAGGGGGAGGAGGAGGGGAGGAAGGUGGAAGAGGGGUCGGCUUCUGUCUCCAUUCAGGGGAAUAAAUCACUCUUUACAGCGACACCAAACUUCCACACCUCCCACACCCCUCACACGCUGUCUACUCCCCGCUCUGAGCUCAUCUUUCCCUCCUCUUCAUUUUCCCGUAUCCUUCACCGACUCCUCACUCUGAUUUAAUUUACUCGUCCUUCCAAAGUGAUAUCAUCCUCUCCUUUCCUCAUUCCCUCACCUAGCCCCCCAUUCCUCACUCCAUUUCUCCUCACACUUCCUACACCUCUCCUGUCUCCUCGUUUUUCCAAAGCCAUCUUUCCUCCUCCCUCAGACUCCUUCCCUUCUCUCUAUCCGUCCUCUCCAGUUGUCUCUUUCAUCUGGCUGAAGCAUCUUUCAAAGACGAGCCCUCUCCUUCCCUCAAUCUGCUCCGUUUCCUCCUUGGCCCCGACUCUCAUCGCACAUCAUCGUCACAUUUUCUCCGCCGCGUUCUUCCUCCUCUCCGUCUCCAUCGGCGGGCAGGGAACAGCCGGCGUGGAGCUGAUGAGGUGAAGUAUCGCCUCGUGAUGAAUAUUCAUGCCGUCCCGCCAGCCGCUGUCCCUGCUCGCCGCGAUGCCGAGGCCUCCAGCCCGCAGAUGCCACUGUCUAUUUGUCACGGAGCGAGUCGAGACCCACAGGAAGGUUUCUGGUGCCAAGGCCGAGGAGGGAGCGACUGAGUGAGAGCGAGAGAGCCCCCUCCCCUCUUUUGUGUGAAGCAAGCUGGUCCAUCUGAGCCACAUCAAACAAGUGCUCAGCUCUGAGGCAGUGACGGCUCUGUCCUCGUCUGUUUUCUCUGCUGCCCGUCACAGAUAUGAGACACUCAAGGACCAGACAGAGAAUUGCCAAAACAUGUCUGGCGUGGAGCUUUUUCUUUCAACGAGCUGGGUCCUUUUUAUAGUUUUUGUCACCAGUCAGCCUUGAUAAAUGUGCCACUAAAUGUCUUCUCCUGAGCUGCAGUCCAACAGCAGAGGAACCAGAACAGAGAAGGUACCAAAGAAGUCUUAAAAAAGGGAGAUGAUCUGACGCGCAGAUCUGUGGCUGUCCUCAAGACGAGUUACUCCUUCUGACAAAAUUCAGAGGGAAAAAAAACAGUCACAAGCAAAACUGUUUGGAGGUAGUAGAGGACUUUUUCAAGGCUGGAGUGAAAUCACAGAAAAACGGUCAAAAAGUUGUAGAAAUGCACUUGAAACAACAAAUGACAGAGAAUUUCACACAAAACAUCGGAUUGUGUAGUGAUCCAGACUCCACAAGCAUUUACAAUCAACAUGACAACUUUAAAAGUCCUGAAAGGAAAGUGAUCGCAAGAAGUAUAACAGCUUGAAAAUGUAGGUUUCUCUCUCAUCAAAGGUGAGGGAAGCUUAUUAAAGACGUACCAACCGCAGAUGAAGCAUAAAAUGAUAAAAACAACAGCAUUUGAAGGUCCAGAACUACAGGAAUUCACAUCUCUGUUUCAUACAAAACAAUCAUUAUAAUCAUGGCUAUCCCAAAUAGCAUCAGUAUCUCUGUGUGUCUGAAAAG